CGCACAUUGCGCCCUUCGGUAUUCCGUUGGGCAUGCCUGUUCGAGCGUCAUUUGCAGCUUCAAGCCCAGCUUGGUGUUGGGUGCUUGUCCCCGCCCCGCGGUGGACUCACCUCAAAUGCAUUGGCGGCCGGCAUGUUGGCUUCGAGCGCAGUAGAAACGCGCCCGGCGUCCUGACGUGCUGGUCCCCCAGAAGUCCAUCUUUUUAGCUUGACCUCGGAUCAGGUAGGGAUACCCGCUGAACUUAA
rnacentral:misc_RNA from 1 species